AAACCAAAAAACAAACAAGCAAACAAAUAAACAAAAACCAAUGGAAAUGCUUAGAGCAAAAGUAGAUAAGAUGUUCCCAACCUCAAAAUGGAAAUGUGUGAGGACAAGUCACCAACAUCCACCAGAGACCUGCAUGGUAUCAAAUCUGUGUGGGAGAAAGCAGAGUAAUCACAGAGCAAGUGAGGAACCUGAGAAUGGGAGAGCCUCCAAAUAGCCAACCAGUAUUCACUGGAAAGCGUGGAGAGCGUAUUUGAGAAUGGAGGCAGAAACUAGCCAAGUUUCCAAAUCUAAAACAGGUGAGGAGGCUUCAGCUGAAGUCCAGGCAUGGCCAGGCUUGACACAAAGCUGUGGGAUGAUUCCAAAUCUGUUCUGGGUUCCAAAUCUGUCUUUCCUCAUUUUGGGCUCAACAGAUUACCCAAGGCAUUCUCUCAUGGGGAUGGCAGAGAGCAUAAAAGCAUGCUGAAAUACCCAAACACAUUUCAAAUACUUGCUUGCGUCACGUCUGCUAACAUCCCCUUGGCCAAGGCAAAUCACAAGGUCAAGCAAGCCAAAAGUCAGAGCAGGCAAGUAAAUUCUGCUCUCCAUGAGACCUUGGCAAGGAUGUGACUGUAUACUACUCCUACAGAGGAAUAAAGAUUUGAGUCCCAUGAUUCAAUAAACAAUAAGAAUGUAACCUAAAGUAUCUCUGUCACAUGUGCAUAGGGAGA
rnacentral:lncRNA from 10 species